UCUUUGUUCAGUUAAAGCGGUAAAAUAAGUGUAUGUUUUUUUCAAUGUGUAGUGUUUUGUUUUGUCUGAUUGUAUUUUGAUUUUGAUUUUAGUUAAUUAAUGCAUUUCCCGCAUCAUGGAUUCAUCUGCACUAACUAUUAGUCAUGAUUAUCUUGACAUCGAUUCUAUUAUUGCUGUUAAUACCAAGGUUACUACUAAAAUGGAGUCAACAGUUUGCAAAUUGGGUUUCAUUGAUCCAGCCUGUGAUUCAGAAAACAUUGUUAAAAACACAAAAUUGGAAUUACCCAUUUGGUUAACCAGGGAACUCUAUAAUGAUGGUUUAGCCACCUUUGAAUUGCCUAAAGGUUAUAAUGAAUCUUUUCGUCAAGUGUUGGAAGCUGAUGCCAAUGUUGUUGACCUCCACCGACUUGGACCCAACUAUUACCGUCUUGGACAAUUUUUAGCUGCUCUAAAUUUACCAGAAAGCACUGCAAUAGCUAACUGUUUGGUUGAUACUUUCUAUCAAAGAUUACGUCGAAUUAUGGACUUUUCAUCCAAUUCACCGACUUCACUUACACCAGAAAUUGGUCAGUUUGUUGGAAAGUUGGAUAACGAGGAGGUCAAAUUGUUUGAAGAAAGUCGCAAAGCCAUGGAAAAGUUCAAAGCCUGGGAAGACAGAAGGAUAGAGAAAAUUCUCUCCAACGAGCUAGUAACUAAACUUAGAAAACGAAAAAGAGCUGCUAUGGAACUCGACUAAUAUUAUAAUUCCUAGUUUAAUUAAUUUUUUAUGCACAUUGAUUGUAAAGCUCUAAUCAUUCUGUUCAACUUGCGUUUCUCAGUUAACAUAUCUCUCUUUCUCUCCUGAAAUUGAUAUAGUUAUCAACCGAUAUCGGGUUGAUUAUUUUGAUAGAUAUGAUCAUAUUGUUUACUCCAAGUUUCCAAGUUGCACACUAUCCACAUUAGUGUUGACCGAUGAAAUCGAAAUAAGGUUAAUUUUUUAAGUCAUCAAGCAAACAGUGUUGACUCAAACUGAUUACAAAUAAUGGAUAAAUGUCGAUAAACAUCUCUUGAUUGUUUUAAAAGUUACCGACACAGAAGCUGAUGAUACAAACGAUGCAAUGAGUCUUACUUUGUCAUAAAUGAAAAAAUAUGACGAAAAAAGUGAAGCAUUAAAUUAAAUAAUCAGUUGAUUGAAAAAUCGAUAAAACCAGUACAACAAGUAAUAUUUUGAUUUCCAUGAUUCAUCUUCCAUUAGUCAACUUGUCUAAAUCCAAUUGUUCAGUAUAGUGACUAGAUUAAAGUUUUCAAGAUUUUACGAGAUUGUGCGAAAUGAGCCAAUGAUUUUAAUCAUAAUGUAAAUUUUAUUAAAUAAUUAAUUAUUUAAGGAAAA